CCCGUGUGCUGAAUCACAUUCCUUCCAGCUCCUUCUGGUUGUCAGUGGACAAGCCCAGCUUGACAUUUUUCCAUAACUUCCAUCAGCAACACAACAAAGUACUCCUGCCCAUACUGUCAGCCUGCUAAUGUUAGUGGACCAUCCAGAUAUCUAGAAUCAUGCAGGAAAAGGUUCCAACCAAAUUAAACAAUGUGCUUCUUCAGUCCUCCUCGUCCAUCAGGAAUGAAACAUCCCCUUCCUUCUCCCACCCCCAUAGAGGAACUACAGAAAUGUCCUCCAAAGGCUGCAACACUCUGAAAACUCCAGCGAAUGGGCUGGGUGAUACAAGAGGUAUUGGGAUUGCUUAUGCCUAUCACAUUGUUCCUUUGCUGGUUCUACAGAAAUGCCUGCUCUUGAAACCUUGCUAUCAAGACUCGUGCGCUGUUUCAGUUGUAUAUGAGCGGAUGCUGUCACUACAUAUUCAACGUCCUGG